AUUGCCCUAGUAACGGCGAGUGAAGCGGCAACAGCUCAAAUUUGAAAUCUGGCUCUUUUAGAGUCCGAGUUGUAAUUUGCAGAGGGCGCUUUGGCUUUGGCAGCGGUCCAAGUUCCUUGGAACAGGACGUCACAGAGGGUGAGAAUCCCGUACGUGGUCGCUGGCUAUUGCCGUGUAAAGCCCCUUCGACGAGUCGAGUUGUUUGGGAAUGCAGCUCUAAAUGGGAGGUACAUUUCUUCUAAAGCUAAAUAUUGGCCAGAGACCGAUAGCGCACAAGUAGAGUGAUCGAAAGAUGAAAAGCACUUUGGAAAGAGAGUCAAACAGCACGUGAAAUUGUUGAAAGGGAAGCGCUUGCAGCCAGACUUGCUUGCAGUUGCUCAUCCGGGCUUUUGCCCGGUGCACUCUUCUGCAGGCAGGCCAGCAUCAGUUUGGGCGGUAAGAUAAAGGUCUCUGUCACGUACCUCUCUUCGGGGAGGCCUUAUAGGGGAGACGACAUAUUACCAGCCUGGACUGAGGUCCGCGCAUCUGCUAGGAUGCUGGCGUAAUGGCUGUAAGCGGCCCGUCUUGAAACACGGACCAAGGAGUCUAACAUCUAUGCGAGUGUUUGGGUGUCAAGCCCGAGCGCGUAAUGAAAGUGAACGGAGGUAGGAACCCGCAAGGGUGCACUAUCGACCGAUCCUGAUGUCUUCGGAAGGAUUUGAGUAAGAGCAUGGCUGUUGGGACCCGAAAGAUGGUGAACUAUGCUUGAAUAGGGUGAAGCCAGAGGAAACUCUGGUGGAGGCUCGCAGCGGUUCUGACGUGCAAAUCGAUCGUCAAAUUUGGGCAUAGGGGCGAAAGACUAAUCGAACUAUCUAGUAGCUGGUUCCUGCC
rnacentral:rRNA from 1 species